rnacentral:rRNA from 1 species
ACGCUCGACACCUACGGGGGGCAGCAGUGGGGAAUAUUGCACAAUGGGGGAAACCCUGAUGCAGCGACGCCGCGUGAGCGAAGAAGUAUUUCGGUAUGUAAAGCUCUAUCAGCAGGGAAGAAACUGACGGUACCUGACUAAGAAGCACCGGCUAAAUACGUGCCAGGAGCCGCGGUAAUCUGAGCGGGCUGGCAAGGC